CNGACGGUUACUUAAGCAGGAUGUGAANUCCCCGGGCUCAACCUGGGAACUGCGUUNUGAACUGGGUGACUAGAGUGUGUCAGAGGGAGGUAGAAUUCCACGUGUAGCAGUGAAAUGCGUAGAGAUGUGGAGGAAUACCGAUGGCGAAGGCAGCCUCCUGGGAUAACACUGACGUUCAUGCCCGAAAGCGUGGGUAGCAANCAGGAUUAGAUACCCUGGUAGUCCACGCCCUAAACGAUGUCGAUUAGCUGUUGGGCAGCAUGACUGCUUAGUAGCGAAGCUAACGCGUGAAAUCGACCGCCUGGGGAGUACGGUCGCAAGAUUAAAACUCAAAGGAAUUGACGGGGACCCGCACAAGCGGUGGAUGAUGAGGAUUAAUUUGAUGCAACGCGAAGAACCUUACCUGGUCUUGACAUGUACGGAACCCUCCAGAGACGGAGGGGUGCCUUCGGGAGCCGUAACACAGGUGCUGCAUGGCUGUCGUCAGCUCGUGUCGUGAGAUGUUGGGUUAAGUCCCGCAACGAGCGCAACCCUUGUCAUUAGUUGCCAUCAUUAAGUUGGGCACUCUAAUGAGACUGCCGGUGACAAGCCGGAGGAAGGUGGGGAUGACGUCAAGUCCUCAUGGCCCUUAUGACCAGGGCUUCACACGUCAUACAAUGGUCGGUACAGAGGGUAGCCAAGCCGCGAGGUGGAGCCAAUCUCACAAAACCGAUCGUAGUCCGGAUUGCACUCUGCAACUCGAGUGCAUGAAGACGGAAUCGCUAGUAAUCGCAGGUCAGCAUACUGCGGUGAAUACGUUCCCGGGUCUUGUACACACCGCCCGUCACACCAUGGGAGUGGGGGAUACCAGAAGUAGGUAGGGUAACCGCAAGGAGCCCGCUUACC
rnacentral:rRNA from 1 species